rnacentral:rRNA from 1 species
GAGGAAUAAGCAUCGGCUAACUCCGUGCCAGCAGCCGCGGUAAUACGGGGGAUGCAAGCGUUAUCCGGAAUCAUUGGGCGUAAAGCGCCUGUAGGUUGUUUAGUAAGUCUGUUGUUAAAGACCAGGGCUUAACCCUGGGAAAGCAAUGGAAACUACUAGACUUGAGUAUGGCAGGGGUAGAGGGAAUUUCUAGUGUAGCGGUGAAAUGCGUAGAUAUUAGAAAGAACACCGGCGGCGAAAGCGCUCUACUGGACCAUUACUGACACUCAGAGGCGAAAGCUAGGGGAGCAAAAGGGAUUAGAUACCCCUGUAGUCCUAGCCGUAAACGAUGGAUACUAGAUGUUGCGCAAUUUGUGCAGUAUCUUAGCUAACGCGUUAAGUAUCCCGCCUGGGGAGUACGCUCGCAAGGGUGAAACUCAAAGGAAUUGACGGGGGCCCGCACAAGCGGUGGAGCAUGUGGUUUAAUUCGAUGCAACGCGAAGAACCUUACCAGGGCUUGACAUACUACAAAUCUUUUCGAAACGAAAGAGUGCCUUCGGGAAUGUAGAUACAGGUGGUGCAUGGCUGUCGUCAGCUCGUGUCGUGAGAUGUUGGGUUAAGUCCCGCAACGAGCGCAACCCUCAUUUUUAGUUGCCAAUUUAUUGGGAUUUCUAGAGAGACUGCCGGUGACAAACCGGAGGAAGGUGAGGAUGACGUCAAGUCAGCAUGCCCCUUAUGCCCUGGGCCACACACGUGCUACAAUGGCGAAGACAAAGAGUCGCAAACCUGCGAAGGCUAGCUAAUCUCGUAAACUUCGUCUAAGUUCGGAUUGCAGGCUGCAACUCGCCUACAUGAAG